AUGGCGACUCUUUCCGACGCCCACUCCGCCACGGGUGGCGGCGGCGACGCCGCGGCUGCACGAUCGGAUCUGGGUGAUUUCCUCGAACAGUUGGAUCUGAACGAUGAUGACUUUGCAGAUGUGGAGAUCGAUGAGGAUGAUCAUGCGAUUCAAGAAAGCGUACGCUGGCUUGCCCUAGCCAGGGUCCAUACAAGCAGGAACUUCAGCCCGUCUGCCUUCUACAAAGAUAUGAGGGCCGCAUGGAAUCCUGUGCAGGACGUGAGAUUUCGGCCAGUUGGCCCUAAUCGUUUUGUCGCCCAAGCAUCUUGCUUGGGGGAUUGGGAACGCAUAAUGAAGCAAGGACAUUGGCUAUUCUGCAAUAUGGCUGUGCUCUUGUGCCCGUAUGACGGCUUCAGUAAGGCGGAGGAGGUGGAAUUCUUUCAUAUUCCAAUU
rnacentral:rRNA from 1 species